rnacentral:rRNA from 1 species
UACGGAGGGGGCUAGCGUUGUUCGGAAUUCCUGGGCGUAAAGCGCGCGCAGGCGGCUAUCCAAGUCAGUGGUGAAAGCCCGGAGCUCAACUCCGGAACUGCCAUUGAAACUGUUUAGCUUGAGUAUGAGAGAGGUGAGUGGAAUUCCCAGUGUAGAGGUGAAAUUCGUAGAUAUUGGGAAGAACACCGGUGGCGAAGGCGGCUCACUGGCUCAUUACUGACGCUCAGGCGCGACAGCGUGGGGAUCAAACAGG